CGAGACCCCUGGCGUCGGUGAUUUGUCGUUGGGCCAUCAUACCAGUUAUUCUAGAAAGACGCUGCUACCCAAUCUGCUGUGAAAAGCUAAGACUGGGGCGGCUGCUGCAGCCUUUCUCUUCCUGCUUCUGUGAUGUCCUGGUGACUGGAAUGAAGAGGUGGUGCUGGGACAACCGGUCCCACUUGUGUCACCCUCACCCUGCCGCACAAAGUCCUCUGUGACCUCUUUUCUGAACAUCUACAUUCUAGACCAGUGGUUCUCAACCUUCCUAAUGCCGCGACCCUUGAAUACAGUUCCUCAUGUUGUGGUGACCCCCAAUUUCAUUGUUACAAAUUGA